GGACAGUUUCAAAGACAAUUACGAAGGGACAGUUACAAGGAGGGAGAGGGAGAGAUCGCAUGGAAAAGUGGACAAAACGGGUCAGAAGUGACAGGUUCCUAAGUCAGAAUUUCGGCGGAGCUCAACAAUGCAGAGUUACCGACAUGGUUCUCUGGGGAGAUAGAUCCCAGAGAGUGUACAGAAGAGGACCGGACAGUGGUGGACUUCUGAGGCUUUUCGUGUUGAUCUGUGUUAACUUUACCUCUGUGGACUCUUGUAACCACCCUCCUGUCGAGGAUUUUGUUCAUUAGUAUUUGCACCACCAGUGGCAUCAUCCAGGCUCUCUGAACGAACAAGGUUCAUGUAUUAUACUUUGCAUACUUUAUAUUUUAUGUAAAUAAACUUGUAUAUUCAAAACUGUUAAUGGUGAGUCCUAGAUGUGUGUUUCGAUAACGAACCACCUAUGAAAAC
rnacentral:lncRNA from 1 species